rnacentral:lncRNA from 1 species
UCCGCCCUGUGGUUUUGGAGCCCUUCCUCCCGGCGCGCAGGGUGUGGUCCCCGAGAAUAAGAUGAGCAGAAUUAAAGCAGAUCCUGCACCCACUCUGCUGAAAUCCGGCUUCUGAGGCAGCCUCGCCCAGGGCUGGGUGGGCUCAGGCGGCUGCUACUCGGUUCAGGGGAGGUUACGCACGGUGGCUGCCGCGCGCAGGGGAGGCUUCGCUUCCGUACUCCUUGGGCCGGGAGAUCCGAUCUUUGUUCCCUCAAGACUCACACUCUCCAACCGGUCAUUAUCCUCCCACAAAGAUUUAUUUCUAGAAAAAAUUGGCAAGUGCCACAGUUCCCGCCCCUUCAGCUGAACGACUGUGACAGCUCCGUGUUUCAAGUUGAAUGCAGGCGUUAUGUGCCAGAGUCAAUCAUUCAACAAAUAAAGUUCUUAAAAUAACAGCUACCAUUUACUGCACGCUGACUACUUGCCAGGCCCAUGCUGAGUUCUUCAAGCGUAUUUUCAUUUACUCCUAAUAGCAACUCUCGGUGGUAGGUACCAUUAUGCCCUCUAGUUUUCAAAUGAGGAAGCUGAAUAACUUGCCAAGGUCAGAAAGUAACUGUUGAAACUUUGAAGGAAACACAUCUGUCUGACUCUAAAUCCCAUGAGCUUAAUUAGCCCCUGUGAUAGACCAUACUGCAGACAUUUGAGGCAGAUUUGAGGUGGUGAAUGCCUCUGGAUCUGGAGACACUGGGUUCCAGUGCUGGCAUAGGCCCUCUACUAGGGGUCAGACUUUGGUCAGGUUACUUUGGACGGGUUACUGGGCCUCUUCCUAACUUUAUGGCUCCCAGCAUGUUUAAAAGAACAUGACAACAUGAAAAAAUAUGGUAUAAAAGUCAUAGUAUAUUUUAAAUAUUGACAUUUAACUAAAAACACUGUCUCACACACACACAAACUCUAACUUUAUUUGGACAUAAUCUUUGACUCUGCAUUUAGUUAUUCUAAAUCUCUUUCUGGAUUAGAGACAGAAGGAACAUAGACCAUACACGCAUUCUAGAGGAAGAGGAGAGAGAAGAGGAAGCAGGAAGGAGAAUGAAGAAAGUUUCCUCAUCAGCUUUUUCCUCCUCGCUGAUCUUGCCCCUUGUCCAGUACCCAGUGCUUCAUCCAUGUCUCUCUUGCAGAUAACUAUGGCCGUGUGCCUGAGAUCUGGCCAAUGGAAUCGUGGACAGUUCUCCAUGCUCUUUCUCCUUCUGUGGCAACUCUGAAUGUCGUGUGUUCAAGAUGAAGACAGAAGAUAGAAUGACCUUGGGUCUCUGAAUCAUUGCUUGGAGAAGAGCAAUUUACUGAUCAGUGGUGUGAAAAUAAGUAAUUCAAAAUCUAAGCUAUUGGGCCAGGUGCAGUGGCUCACGCCUGUAACCCCAGCACUUUGGGAAACCAAGGCAGGUGGAUCAUUUGAGGUCAGGAGUUCGAGACCAGCCUGGCCAACAGGGUGAAACCCCGUCGCUACUAAAAAUACAAAAAAUUAGCCGGGCAUGGUGGCAUACGCCUGUGGCCCCAGCUACUUGGGAGGCUAGGGCACGAGAAACACUUAAGCCCAGGAGGCGGAAGUUGCAGUGAGCCAAGACUGCACCACUGCAUGCUAGCCUGGGCAAGAGAGCAAGACUCUGCCUCA